GUGAGCAGCGUGCUUGGUACAGGCCGCCUCUCAAACCGCGAGGCCGGCGGACAUGUCUUAGCCCUGCAGCUACGGCUGCGGCUGUGUCUCACCAGCUGCUGGCCACCGAGGAGCCCGUCGUUCCACGCUGCACAGGCAGCAGUCUCACCUAAACCAUCUUCCCCAAAGACCACUGAGGAUCAGGCCCUGGGAUACAUAUGCAGAUGAAGGACGGGAGGAGGGCCUUGUUCUGAGUUGCAGCUGGAAGGGUGAGGGGUAGGGAAUGGUAGCAAGACAAGUAAGUAGGUACUUAAAGGAGGAGUAGGACUUUGCCAGGUGGGUUGAGGAUGGAAAAUGGAGAACUUCUAGGCAGAGGGAAGAGCCGAGCAGGGCUUUCUUUUUCUUUUUUUUUGAGACUGAGUCUCGCUGUCGUUGCCCG
rnacentral:lncRNA from 1 species